UACGUAGGGGGCAAGCGUUGUCCGGAAUCAUUGGGCGUAAAGAGUGCGUAGGCGGUCCGGUAAGUCAGCUGUGAAAGUCAGGGGCUCAACCCUUGAAAGCCGGUUGAUACUGUCGGGCUAGAGUCCGGAAGAGGCGAGUGGAAUUCCCGGUGUAGCGGUGAAAUGCGCAGAGAUCGGGAGGAACACCCGUAGCGAAGGCGGCACUCUGGGCCGAUACUGACGCUGAGGAGCGAAAGCGUGGGGAGCAAACAGG
rnacentral:rRNA from 1 species